UACAGAGGGGGCAAGCGUUAUUCGGAAUUAUUGGGCGUAAAGGGCGCGUAGGCGGCUUGGCAAGUGGAUGGUGAAAUCCCUCGGCUUAACCGAGGAACUGCCGUCCAAACUGCUUCGCUUGAGACCGGGAGAGGUGAGUGGAGUUCCCAGUGUAGCGGUGAAAUGCGUAGAUAUUGGGAGGAACACCAGUGGCGAAGGCGGCUCACUGGACCGGUACUGACGCUGAUGCGCGAAAGCGUGGGGAGCAAACGGG
rnacentral:rRNA from 1 species